UUAAGGCAGAAGGAGCCUCAGUUUCCUCAUUUUCUAGGUGAACACAGCUGUGAGCCCUUUCAUCUGCAGGCCCAUGGGGCUGAGUCACCCGCAGAGAAGGGACACCAUCCCUCGUCACUCCCCAGGGACAUCCCUCAAGUUGGGGACCUCCUGCAGCACCGCGCGGAAGAGCCGGGACACCUCCUGCACCUCCGGCUCCUGCUCGGCCAGCAGCUGCCGGAACCUGCGCGGGCGGGGAGGGCGCUGUGGAGCCGCAGGGGCCUCCCGGGCAUCCCCCCCUGCCCCGCCCCCUCGGUGCCAUCGCGUCAGUCACCCGCCUGGCUUCUGCUGCCGCCCACCGCCGACCGUGAGAUCAAAUCCCAGCUCCGCCUUCUGGCUUCCAUGGGCCUCAGCUUCCUCGUCUGUAAGCUGGAGCCACAGCUACCUUUUUGCGAGGUCUAAUGCACUCGCCUAUGUAGAAUUCCUGAUGCUUCCCUGAGGCCGUGGGGGCGGUGCUCUGCCUGGCAGCCUUCCAGAUCCCGGACAGGCCUUCUGGCUACCCUCCCCCACCCUCCCCUCUCCGCCCACUGGUCCUGUGGCCUCUGACUCACUGUCCUUUCCCGUCCUUCUGCAGCUCUGUCACCUGGGUGAGGGUGAUGUUUGGCCCUCCAGAAUGGUUCCCUUUCUGGCCAGGAAGACUCAGUGUGCCCCCCACCCCCCGUUCCCCGGGUUUUCCUGGGUGCCCCCAGGCUGUUUCCCCUUCCUAGAAUGGCUGUGCUGGGGGCUCAGAGAUUAGCUGGCCUGUUUGAGACAGCAUGGCAGGAAGUGUGCCCCAACGGUUACAGCCUGUGCCCAGCCUGCCCACCCACUUAGCAGGCCUGGUUGGCCACUGAGACUGCUGCCCCAGCGCCCUAGGACCCCACCCCAGGCUGCCUGCCGGGAUUCUGGGAGGUUUCCAUGGAACACAGAAACAUGGGGGCGGCAAGAAGAUCAAAAGCCUAAAGCAGCUCGGAUGGGGCUGAAGAAGGGCAGGGGCCGUCAGGGGAGGUUCAAGGAGAAAGGCGCUCGAUGCAGGAUGGGCACAGGCUGUGGCUAAGGGGUGGGUGGGGCAAGGUUUGGGGAGACUAACAGGAUGGGCGUUUUAGUGCUCUCUCAUGCACUUGAGCCCCUUACAGAGAGGGGUGCACAUAAAGAACCUGAGUGAGUUGGGAAUUAUUCUUGCCGGUUGGACUGGGUGCCUCCUUGAUUUCAGCACCGAUCCAAGUGCGACAGGGCCCCAGGGGCCACAGCUCCAGUAAGGUCAAGUUCAACACGCACACGCACGUUCAACACGUCCACACGCACACCUCCAGCAGGUGAGUGUGAAACAAGAAAACUAAACUGGCCGGCGCCGUGGCUCACUAGGCUAAUCCUCUGCCUAGCGGCGCCGGCACACCAGGUUCUAGUCCCGGUUGGGGCGCCGGAUUCUGUCCCGGUUGCCCCUCUUCCAGGCCAGCUCUCUGCUGUGGCCAGGGAGUGCAGUGGAGGAUGGCCCAGGUGCUUGGGCCCUGCACCCCAUGGGAGACCAGGAAAAGCACCUGGCUCCUGGCUCCUGCCAUCGGAUCAGCGCGGUGCGCCGGCUGCAGCGCGCCGGCCGCGGCAGCCAUUGGAGGGUGAACCAACAGCAAAGGAAGACCUUUCUCUCUGUCUCUCUCUCUCACUGUCCACUCUGCCUGUCAAAAAAUAAAAUAAAUAAAUAAAUAAAUAAAAAUUAAAAAAAAAAAAAAAGAAAACUAAA